rnacentral:rRNA from 1 species
GUAAUUUGUAGAGGAUGCUUUUGGUGCGGUGCCUUCCGAGUUCCCUGGAACGGGACGCCUUAGAGGGUGAGAGCCCCGUACGGUUGGACGCCUAGCCUCUGUAAAGCUCCUUCGACGAGUCGAGUAGUUUGGGAAUGCUGCUCUAAAUGGGAGGUAUAUUUCUUCUAAAGCUAAAUACUGGCCAGAGACCGAUAGCGCACAAGUAGAGUGAUCGAAAGAUGAAAAGCACUUUGAAAAGAGGGUUAAAUAGCACGUGAAAUUGUUGAAAGGGAAGCGUUUAUCACCAGACUUUUUCUAGGGGGAUCAUCCGGUGUUCUCACCGGUGCACUUCCCCUAGUUGAGGCCAGCAUCGGUUUUCGGAGGGGGAUAAAAGUUUCGGGAAUGUGACUCCCCCGGGAGUGUUAUAGCCCGUUACAUAAUACCCUUCUGGGGACCGAGGUUCGCGCAUCUGCAAGGAUGCUGGCAUAAUGGUGAUCAACGACCC